rnacentral:rRNA from 1 species
UCAAUAAGCGGAGGAAAAGAAACCAACCGGGAUUGCCUUAGUAACGGCGAGUGAAGCGGCAAAAGCUCAAAUUUGAAAUCUGGUACCUUCGGUGCCCGAGUUGUAAUUUGGAGAGGGCAACUUUGGGGCCGUUCCUUGUCUAUGUUCCUUGGAACAGGACGUCAUAGAGGGUGAGAAUCCCGUGUGGCGAGGAGUGCGGUUCUAUGUAAAGUGCCUUCGAAGAGUCGAGUUGUUUGGGAAUGCAGCUCUAAGUGGGUGGUAAAUUCCAUCUAAAGCUAAAUAUUGGCGAGAGACCGAUAGCGAACAAGUACAGUGAUGGAAAGAUGAAAAGAACUUUGAAAAGAGAGUGAAAAAGUACGUGAAAUUGUUGAAAGGGAAGGGCAUUUGAUCAGACAUGGUGUUUUGUGCCCUCUGCUCCUUGUGGGUAGGGGAAUCUCGCAUUUCACUGGGCCAGCAUCAGUUUUGGUGGCAGG